AAUAUGAACUGUAAACAUGUCAGUAGGCAGCCUAAUGUAAUUAUGAAUAUAAUAUAAUAUAAUAUUUAACCUUAACCUGUCUUAUAUGAUAAUUUAUGUAUAGCAACAAGUAUUCAAAAACAGAAUGCAAUGAAAAGUUGAUGAUAGCAGUUUUAACACUAGGUUGAAAGAGUGGCAUUUUGAAAAAUAUACUUUAAUUCGUAGAAGAACUUAAUGAAUUUUUCUCAGACACGGGAUAUCUGCUAGCGAAUUGUUAUACCAAAGAGUUGGAUGCAAGUUUUAAAUUAUUUUUAAAUAAUAUUGAUUCACUUCAGUCAUUUAGCCUCAACAAAAUUUCAAAAAGGUGAGUAAUAUUGUACAAGGUGAUCUAUUAAUCAUAUGACACUCAUUAUAAUGAGUACCCUGU